rnacentral:rRNA from 1 species
UACGUAGGGUGCAAGCGUUAAUCGGAAUUACUGGGCGUAAAGCGUGCGCAGGCGGUUUUGUAAGUCUGAUGUGAAAUCCCCGGGCUCAACCUGGAAAUUGCAUUGGAGACUGCAAGGCUAGAAUCUGGCAGAGGGGGGUAGAAUUCCACGUGUAGCAGUGAAAUGCGUAGAGAUGUGGAGGAACACCGAUGGCGAAGGCAGCCCCCUGGGUCAAGAUUGACGCUCAUGCACGAAAGCGUGGGGAGCAAACAGG